UCCUGGCUCAGGACGAACGCUGGCGGCGUGCUUAACACAUGCAAGUCGAACGGUAAGGCCCUUCGGGGUACACGAGUGGCGAACGGGUGAGUAACACGUGGGUGAUCUGCCCUGCACUUCGGGAUAAGCCCGGGAAACUGGGUCUAAUACCGGAUAUGACUGCAGCAUGCAUGUGCUGUGGUGGAAAGAUUUAUCGGUGCAGGAUGGGCCCGCGGCCUAUCAGCUUGUUGGUGGGGUAAUGGCCUACCAAGGCGACGACGGGUAGCCGGCCUGAGAGGGCGACCGGCCACACUGGGACUGAGACACGGCCCAGACUCCUACGGGAGGCAGCAGUGGGGAAUAUUGCACAAUGGGCGCAAGCCUGAUGCAGCGACGCCGCGUGAGGGAUGACGGCCUUCGGGUUGUAAACCUCUUUCAGCAGGGACGAAGCGUGAGUGACGGUACCUGCAGAAGAAGCACCGGCCAACUACGUGCCAGCAGCCGCGGUAAUACGUAGGGUGCAAGCGUUGUCCGGAAUUACUGGGCGUAAAGAGCUCGUAGGCGGUUUGUCGCGUCGUCUGUGAAAACCAGCAGCUCAACUGUUGGCUUGCAGGCGAUACGGGCAGACUUGAGUAUUUCAGGGGAGACUGGAAUUCCUGGUGUAGCGGUGAAAUGCGCAGAUAUCAGGAGGAACACCGGUGGCGAAGGCGGGUCUCUGGGAAAUAACUGACGCUGAGGAGCGAAAGCGUGGGUAGCGAACAGGAUUAGAUACCCUGGUAGUCCACGCCGUAAACGGUGGGCGCUAGGUGUGGGUUUCCUUCCACGGGAUCCGUGCCGUAGCUAACGCAUUAAGCGCCCCGCC
rnacentral:rRNA from 1 species